UCCUUUUUUGUCUAUUUCUUAGAAGAUAAGUUAUUGAAAAUUUUAAAUUGCAAAAAAUAAAAACAAUAAAACAUUUGAAAGCUUUUUAUAGAGAAAUUGUUAAUUUAUGGGGAGAAAUAUUCAACUUGGCUCCCACCCACUCGCCACUGUCCCCACAGACACAAAGUUCAGAAUGUCUUAGUCGGAAUCUUCCCUCUUUUGCUAUCUUACCUUCUCCCAAGUCCCAACCACCACACCAUGACAAAACUUGCAAAGCUACAACACAAAACCUCCCAUCGUCUUGUUGAGUGAAGAAAUCGUUCGGUAAAAUUUCGUGUUCGAAUCUCAUCACAACAUCAAUAGACAAUUUAGCUAGAAUUCUAUGAUAAAGUUAUGCUUCUUUCAAUGUCACCAAGAUGAUUGAUUUGGUGAAAGUGUUUUAUCAAAUUCAAUCGUAACGAAGAUGUAUAUAUGAAUAUUUUGGUAAUUUUUUUCUUUUGAUUAUAUAUUAACUAAAAGCGAAGUGCGUAACAAUUUAAGCCAUAUAUAUGCAUGUUCGUUGUGUACACAUUUCUAUACGGAUUAACACCUUACCUAAUCCCUCGUUCCCUCAGUAUACACAACACCAUUUACUUACACGUAACAUCAACCAACAACAACAAUAGCAUCGUAAUCAAUCAUAAGUGUAAACCAUUAAAGAAAGUAUUUACACUCAAAUUAAACAACAAACAUUAAAAAAAAACAAAUAAUCCUAAUUUCAAACCCAUUUCAUGGAUUCGAAAUUAAAUUAAAAAAGUAUAUAUAAUAUAACAACAGAGACAC
rnacentral:lncRNA from 1 species